UACAGAGGGUGCGAGCGUUGUUCGGAAUUACUGGGCGUAAAGCGUGCGUAGGUGGUGAGUUAAGUCUGUCGUGAAAGCCCCGGGCUCAACCUGGGAAUGGCGAUGGAUACUGGCUCGCUAGAGUGCGGUAGAGGAGAGUGGAAUUCCCGGUGUAGCAGUGAAAUGCGUAGAGAUCGGGAGGAACAUCAGUUGCGAAGGCGGCUCUCUGGACCAGCACUGACACUGAGGCACGAAAGCGUGGGGAGCAAACAGG
rnacentral:rRNA from 1 species